rnacentral:rRNA from 1 species
GAGUGGCGGACGGGUGAGUAACACGUGGGUAACCUGCCCAUAACCGGGGGAUAACACCUGGAAACAGAUGCUAAUACCGUAUAACAGAGAAAACCGCCUGGUUUUCUUUUAGAAGAUGGCUCUGCUAUCACUUCUGGAUGGACCCGCGGCGCAUUAGCUAGUUGGUGAGGUAACGGCUCACCAAAGCGAUGAUGCGUAGCCGACCUGAGAGGGUAAUCGGCCACAUUGGGACUGAGACACGGCCCAGACUCCUACGGGAGGCAUCAGUAGGGAAUCUUCCACAAUGGACGCAAGUCUGAUGGAGCAACGCCGCGUGAGUGAACAAGGGUUUCGGCUCGUAAAGCUCUGUUGUUAAAGAAGAACGUGGGUGAGAGUAACUGUUCACCCAGUGACGGUAUUUAACCAGAAAGCCUCGGCUAACUACUUGCCAGCCCCCGCGGUAAUACGUAGGUGGCAAGCGUUAUCCGGAUUUAUUGGGCGUAAAACAAGCGCAUGCAGUCUUUUAAGUCUAAUGUGAAAGCCUUCAUCUCAAUCAUAAAACUGCAUUGGAAACUGGUAGACUUGUUUGUGAAAGAGGACAGUGGAACUCCGUGUGUAGUAGUGAAAUGUGUAGAUAUAUGGAAGA